GACGAACGCUGGCGGCGUGCCUAAUACAUGCAAGUCGAGCGAAGCGGCGGAUGGGUGAGUAACGCGUGGGCAACCUGCCCUUAAGUCCGGGCUACCAUUUGGAAAUAGUUGCCAAUACCGGAUAUUAAAGGAUGGACCUGAGAUGCAUUAGCUAGUUGGUAAGGUAACGGCGUACCAAGGCGAUGAUGCAUAGCCGAGUUGAGAGCCUGAUCGGCCACAUUGGGACUGAGACACGGACCAAACUCCUACGGGAGGCAGCAGUAGGGAAUCUUCCACAAUGGACGAAAGUCUGAUGGAGCAACGCCGCGUGAGUGAAGAAGGUUUUCGGAUCGUAAAGCUCUGUUGUUAGUGAAGCGGUAGUCAACCAGAAAGUCACGGCUAACUACGUGCCAGCAGCCGCGGUAAUAC
rnacentral:rRNA from 1 species